AUACUCGUUUAUUUAGCCGUAAUUGUAGGAUGGAAACCAAAGUCUUGUUAUUAUAAAUAAGCUCCAGAAUAUGAAUAAAAGUAUUGAGAAUUCUAAACAACAAUUAUUUAGUCCUUUCUCGCCAUAAGCAGAAAACUAUCACUUGUGUUACGCGUGAUCAUUGGCUGUCUCUGACUGGGACCUAUCAUUCACACUCUUCAACUGCAAUAUAAGAACAAUUUAAAAACCAAAAAUAAAUUAUCAUUAAAGAUAAUCCUUCAAUAUUUUUAUUUUUCAUGCUUUAAUUAAAUUUAAAAUGUAAAUAGUAUUCUUACCAUUGAAGAAGUCAAUGGUAUUUUUGGAGGAUUCCCACAUGCUUGGCUUUCAUGAAAAUGACUCUAAAAUGAAAAAUAAAAAUUCAAUAACUAAAUAUUAUAACAAUUAUAUAAAAGUGAAUAAAACAUAAUACAUACUUGCCACCUUUUUAUGUAGCUCUUCAACUAGCUUUCGCAUAUAGGACAAUUCUUUUCGAAAUAAUACUACUUUUUUUAUAUAAUAGAAAACAAUUUAAGAAAUGAUUGUUUAGCUAAAUUUUUAUUAUAUAUAUAUAUUCCCAGAAAAUUUUACAAGAAAGAAAAAUUUGUGUUGAGAGAAUGCUUUGGUCUUUGAGAGCUUGUCCGAAAAUCAACCUCUCCUAAAGAAAAAUUGCUUUGCUCAGCAAUGCCAAUUAAAUCCUGGAUUGACAUAGUUGAAGAACAAGAGCAACAAGAAGCCCAAUCUAAAGACACCAAGGAAAUUUUCCUGUCUUAACUAUAUUCCCAUCUGUUUCUUUCUGUAAUAAAUCUUCAUAAAGAUUCAAGGAUACAAGCGAUUUAACUUGUAAGUUGUAAGUUUCCAUUUGUAAUUUCAAUUUAAAGUUCGGUUGCAUGUUUAAAUUUCUGCAAUUAAUUUAAAGUUUUUAAUUUUCAUAAAACUUGUUACAUUCCUCUAAGGCAAAGAGACCGGAUCUCUGCCCUUAGUUGUAUCUUCUCUUCUCCCUCCAUUCAAUCAGAAUACUAUUUUUGGGAUCCAGAUCUAGUAUUAUCUAUGAGCCUUCUAGAUUUUGUUGCUAGGCUUGAUUAAAGAACACCAGACCACCUUUUUUUUAAAAAAAAAAUUAUUUUGGUAUAUUGGCUGGAAAACAGAACGUGCGAGAUAUUGAUCUGUUCUAAGUCAAAUCUGGUCUCAAAGGCAGAUUAAGUUCUGCAUCGAUCUGGUAACAACGCCACGUAUUGAUUUAAUUAAGUGUGAUUAAUUUAAUUUUUUGCUUAUUAAUUGCAAUUUGAAGUUUUAAAAUUUUGAGUUCUCCAAAUUCAUAUCCAUCCUUCGAUCCAAUUUCCUACUAGUAUCAGAGCCAGUAGGAAAUUGGAUCGAAAUGUAAAUUUCCAUUUGUAAUUUCAAUUUAAAGUUCGGUUGCAUGUUUAAAUUUCUGCAAUUAAUUUACCAGUAGGAAAUUGGAUCGAAGGAUAGAUAUGAAUUUGGAGAACUCAAAAUUUUAAACUUCAAAUUGCAAUUAAUAAGCAGAAAAUUAAAUUAAUCACACUUAAUUAAAUCAGUACGUGGCGUUGUUACCAGAUCGAUGCAGAACUUAAUCUGCCUUUGAGACCAGAUCUGACUUAGAACAGAUCAAUAUCUCGCACGUUCUGUUUUCCAGCCAAUAUACCAAAAUAAUUUUUUUUUAAAAGGGUGGUCUGGUGUUCUUUAAUCAAGCCUAGCAACAAAAUCUAGAAGGCUCAUAGAUAAUACUAGAUCUGGGUCCCAUAAAUAGUAUUCUGAUUGAAUGGAGGGAGAAGAGAAGAUACAACUAAGGGCAGAGAUCUGGGGUCUUUGCCUUAGAGGAAUGUAACGGGUUUUAUGAAAAUUAAAAACUUUAAAUUAAUUGCAGAAAUUUAAACAUGCAACCGAACUUUAAAUUGAAAUUACAAAUGGAAACUUACAACUUACAAGUUAAAUCACUUGUAUCCUUGAAUCUUUAUGAAGAUUUAUUACAGAAAGAAAUAGAUAGGAAUAUAGUUAAGACAGGAAAAUUUCCUUGGUGUCUUAAGAUUCCUAGAAAAUUUUACAAGAAAGAAAAAUUUGUGUUGAGAGAAUGCUUUGGUCUUCGAGAGCUUGUCCGAAAAUCAACCUCUACCUUCUUUCGUUUCCUUCGUCUUCUUUAUAAUGAAAACCGUUGGAUGGCAUGAUGCUAUUCAUUCACAUGCGUGGAUGGAGGAGCGGGACCUCCAAGACAUAUUGGGGACAGCAUCAUUUGUCAUGAACUUGCUUUAUGACCGUGGCUUUAUUGGCUUUUGCUGGAGCUUCACAUGCGUGGUUGGAGAGUCGAGACUUUAAAGGUGAGUGGAGACAGCAUCAUUUUUCUUUUACGACUUUAAAGGAAAAGCAAAAGAUGGGUGAAGAGACAUGUGCGCUCUCACUUGUGUCCAGGGGACCACCCAAAAAUAAAAUAAAUACAGAAAUUACAAUUAUUUACAGAAGGGAAAACAAUGAUUACAAAAGUACGAAAUAUAAAAUCACUCUUUUUUUUUUUGCAUACAAAGUGCUAAAAAUUACAAAUGACUUUAAGAAUGCUUUAUUGGAGAAAAUAUUCCGAAGCAGUCAUCUUCGUUAUCAUCUCCAAGGGAAAUGAACGGCUCAGCUUCACCAGAAGAACUCGAACCAGAACUCGCAACUGAUGGUUCUGAUCUCGAGGCAAGGAGCUGUUGCAUAACUUUAAAAUAUUCCUCUUCGGUUUUUGCACUGGCCAAGAGAGACUGGGCCUUCGUUCUUUGAGCGAGGAAUGUGCUUUGGGCUUUGACGUCUUGAAUGCUUGGAGUAAGGAGUCCUCUUGAAGAAAGCCAAGCUUGAACUGUGGCUUCUAAAAGUUUGGACUAUUCGUCAAACUUAGAUCACCAUUUAACUUUAAAGGUUCUUUGUAAAACGAGUUGGGCUUCUUGAGUGUGGUAAUUGAAAUUCCACAUCCAGACCCAAGGAAGGAAGAAAUUUGUGCAGAAACAGAGAAAAUGAGGAAAUCUUUUCUCAGACUCUGAAGGAACAUAAUGGGUUUUAAAAAGAUUUAAACAUUGGAUAGCGUUAGGGGUAAGAAUAUCUGGGCUUGGCCCAAAAUAGUUCCACCAUUGUUGGAACCAGUUUGGAAGACUCUGGACGAUUAUUUUUGAAUUGAAGAAAAAUAACCAAGAAUGGGUCUUUUUUGGGUUUUGAAUGAAAAAGGUGUUAAACCAGGCUUGCUGAUAAUCCUAAUAAGAAAAGGAUAAGCAAUGGUUUAAACUUCUUUGAAAAUUGGCGAGAAAGGUCUUUAGUUUGUGGAGUUGGUCGUUCCACUGUUUUGGGCUCAAGACUUUAAGAAUGGUUGCCGUGGAAUAGGCAAGCUCAGAAUGAGAUUCACUGAGGAAGAAAUGUUUGAAUUUUACUGACUCAGUGAAUUCUAAAAUAGCUUGAUAGAAAGACUGAGGUUUUGACAAAUCCCAAGGUUUGAAAAACCAACCUUUCGGAAAAAUUUUUAAAAUUGCUUGAAAAGGAUCAGAGUGAUAAAAUCCAUCUUCCAUAGUUAAAACAUCUUGGAAAUGGGUUUUAUUAAUCCAAUCGGAAGGUUUCUUUGAAAACAUUGGUUGGGAAAGAACAAUUUGUGAAGAUGAGCUUUCACCAGAAAGAACUAUAUUUUGGGAAAUUUUAGAAAUCUCUUUAGGGUUUUCUUUUUCAGAAAUUUCUUUAGAAGAUUUUUGGCUUUAAGUAAAACUUUGUAAAGCAAUCAUAAGUUCUGGGGAUUUAGAGAUGGAUUUCAUCCAUUCAUUUACCUGUUCUUGAGAGGCAAUAGCUUUAGAUUGGGCAGAGGCAAUAGCUUUAGAUUGGGCUUCUUGUUGCUCUUGUUCUUCAACUAUGUCAAUCCAGGAUUUAAUUGGCAUUGCUGAGGAAAGAAAUUUUUCUUUAGGAGGGGUUGUUGUUGAGGCUUUGGAGGUGGUUUUAGGUUCAGGGUCUUUGAGAAUACCCUUCCCCUUAUCUCGUCUUUUUGGCGGCAUUAUCUGUUUUGGAGAAAUUUCCUGGUUAGAAAAUUAGGGAUAGAAUUUGUAUCACCUUUAAUAAACUCAAUAUCAAAAUCAAAGACACUUAAAAUGGCUUGCCAUCUUGUAAAAAUUUGUUUUGAAGUAAUAUUUUGCACAUCUUUUUCUAAAACAUGUUUUGCAGCUUUGCAAUCAAUUCUGAGCAAAUAUUUUUUGAUUUAAUAAAUCACUUUGAAAUUUGGAUAUGCAUAAAACAAUAGAAAUAAUUUCUUUUUUAAUAGUAGAAUAAUUUCUUUGACAUUCAUUCCAGUGUGCAGAAAUAUACUGUACAAUCUGUUCUUUAUUUUUCUCUUUUUGUUUUAAUAUUCCUCUAUAUCCUAAGUCUGAUGUAUCUGUUUCAACAAUUUUAGGUAAUGCAGGAUUUGCAAGGAAUAAACAUGAAAUAUUUUUAACAGAAUUCUUUAUUAAUAUAACAACUUUAGUAUGCUUAUCAGUCCAUGCAACAUGGUUCUUUUUUAAUCUAUCAUGCAAGGGUUUUGACAUCCUGUUGAUAUUGGGACAAAACUCAAGAACGUAAUUUAAACUUCCUAGAAAUCUUUGCAGUUGUGUUUUAUCAAGAAUUUUAUUAGGAAAUUUAUCUGCAAAUACGAGAGACCGCUCAAUAGGAGUAAUGGUUCCUUUGGAAAUGUAAUGACCAAGGAAUCUGAUCUUUGUUUGAAAUAAAGAAACUUUAGAACUAGAAAUGGCUAAACCAGCCUUUCUAGUGGCAAGGUAAAAAGUCUUUAGAUGUUUGAAAUGUUGAUCAAUGGUCUGGGAAAAAAUCAACACAUCAUCAAUGUAAACAAUGCAAAAUUCAGAGAAAGGAUUAUAAAUAUCAUUCAUAAUUCUUUGAAAUUCUGAAGGAGUAUUCUUUAAACCAAAUGGCAUAACAGUCCAUUCAUAUUGUCCAAAAGGCACAGUAAAAGCAGUUUUAUAACAAUCUUUGGGAUGUAUUUGAAUUUGCCAAAAUCUAGACUUCAUAUCAAAUUUUGAAAAAAUAAAUGCAGAAUGCAGUUUCUGGAGCAAAUCCUUUUUAUUAGGUAUGGGAUACCUAAUUUAUUUUAAUGCUUUAUUUAAGGGUUUGUAAUUUAUUACAAGUCUAGGUGUUCCUCUUUCUAUUUAAGAGUUUUGUUGACAUAAAAAGCGGCACAAGACCAUGGAGACUUAGAUUUUGUAAUGAGACCUUUUGAUUCUAAAUCUUUUAUCUCAUCUUUACAAUGUUGUUCCAAUUCCAUAUUCAUCUGGAUCGGACGGGCUUUGGUAGGUAUUUAUUUUUCAUCAAAAGAGUUUUCAUAGGGCAAAUCAACCAAAUGUUGUUUAUGUUCCAAAAAGCAGAUGGAAGAUCUGCACAUAUUUCUUUUUCAAUGAGGUCUUUAAAAUCAGAGAUUUUUCUUUUUACAAUUCAUUUUGUAAUUGGUUUUCAAUUCUUUGUAAACUCAAAUAUUUUUUUAAACAAAUUAGGUCAUUUUGUUUUGAUUUGAGGAGAGCAUUGAUUUGGUUCUGGUAAACAGAACAAGCUUUAACGAUCUUCAAGUUUCUUGUUUUGGGUUUUUCAAUAAAAGGAAAAACAAGUUUUUUAGUUUUUGCUUUAAAGGAUAUACUAUCGUAGUUGACAGUAUAUGGAGUAAUGAGAUUGAUAAAAGGAGUUCCUAAUAUAACAGUGUGAUGGAUAUCAUUAGUUAAGAGGAAGCAAUUCCUGAAUUCAAAACCAUUGUUAUGAAUAGAGGCGUCGACUUUAGAUUUGACUUUUAAUUUUGAAUUAUUGGCGGCUGAGAGUCUUUCAUUUGUCUUUUCAUGAAAUCUUUUAGGGACAAUAUCUUCUUUAAUGCAGUUUAAAUCGGCACCGGUAUCAAAAAGGGCAAUUGUGUCAAUUUCAAAGUCUUUAGAAAGGAUUAAAGUAAUUUUUAUCAAGUCUUUUCUUGUGGUGAUUUGUUUUAAAAUAAACAGAAAAUCAUUGGGUAUAGAUUCAAUGUUUUCGACGUUUUGUUCAUUCUCACCAUUAGAUUCAACAUCUUUAUCAAAAUUAUCUUCUAAUUGUUUUUAUAAGAGGAGUUGAAUGGUUUCAGAAUCAUUUUUUUGUUUUUCUUUUAAUUCUUUUAUCUCAAGUUUGAUUUCUUUAAUCUCUUUUUGAAGAUCCUGGAUGUUAGGAGUCGUUUUCUUUGUUUUCUUUUUAUCAAGGAUUUCAGUGAGGUCAUAAGUAUUCUUUUUAGUUAUUGGGGCUUUAGAAGUUUCUACUUUAUUGAGUUCUAAGGUUUUUAAAAGUUUAUCGAGGUAUUCUUUUUGGAGAUUUGGAUCCGAAAUAUGUUUAACUAAUUCAAGAAAAGUUUCUUGUUCUUUAGUCAAUACAUUAAUCUUCUUUAAAUAGGACUCUGCGACAGAAUCAUUAUUACUGGAUACAGAUGUAUCUGAGUCGAUUAACUCAUCAAUCUGUAAGGGCUCACUAUCUCCCGUCAUAGAAGACUCAGAGUCAGAUGACUCUACCAUUAAGGAAGCUACUUUAGAAAGUAUUUCUUCAUCAAGGCCAAGCGCAUGGAGCUUUCUGCUCAUUCUACAGAACUUUGCAGUGUGGCCUUUCUUUCCACAUUUAAAACACGUGGCUUCUUUGUAGUUAAAAGGGGUUUUUGUUGUGACUUUAGAGGUUUUCUUUUUAGAGAAAUGAGGUUUUCUAUAAGGCUUCGAAGGUUUCUUAUGGAAAGGUUCUUUAAAGCUGUGGAAGGGUUUUCUAUGGCUUUUAGAUUUGUAAUGUUUCUUGUAAGGUUUUGAAGAACAUUCACCAUUACAAUCUUUAAAAGCGGAAGUUUUAAAGAGGUCAUAGUUGAAUUGCUUAUAGAAACUGCCUAAUUCUUGCUUAAAUUUUAUAAUCUCCCAUUUUAGACGUUUUUGAAGUUUCAAGUCUUGACAAAUCUUUAAACCUUCCUCAUUAACAAAACUGACUAAUUCACCAUAGGUGAGUUCGUCAUAAGGAAUACGGUUGUCAUAAAGGGCUUUAAUAGAAUUCCUAACCUUUUCUCCUAAUAGGGUAGGUAAACCUGCAAGGAAUUUUUCCUUCCAAGUUAUAUGAUUUGCAUCAUCCCUAAGGAAGAGUCUGGUAAAGAAUGUGGUUUUAUAGAUUUGGAAUUCACUAAGUUUUCUACAUCUCGGGUUGUGUAGUAACUCGGCGUUCUUGUCUCUAAGGUGUGAGGGAUCGCCUAUGAAAUGGAGGGAUAUGGUCAAAAUCAGGGUAGCAACAGCAUCCUGAAUUGGACUAUUGAAUUCAUCAAGAAUGGGGGCUCCAUUUUCAUCCGUUUGGAUAGAAUUUAGGAUAUCUAAUUGUUACUGUUUGGUGAGAAGAUGAUCCCACCAACCUUUAAGUUGACCUGUAAAACCAGCAAUGAUAAUUUCUGUAAUGGCCUUGUCAGAAGUUCCCGACUGUGUUUUAUAUGCAUUGGCUGCCAUGGUCAUUUGUUGCAACAAUCCUAAAAUAUUGUAUUCAGACAUACCAUCAAUGUUCCACUCAUAGACAGAGAAUGCAUUAAAUCGUGAUUGGUUUAAUGCAGCAGGCCUGUUGUCUAUGGCAAGGUCAGGCGAAAACUUGACAGUAGGUAGGGCUAAUUCCCAAUGGAUUUUUUGGCUUUGGAAACAGGUUUUUCUUUAAAGGCUUCUAUAUCAGAAGAGGCUAUAGACACAUUGUGUUGUACUAGUACACCAAUUUUACUAGAUUGGACACUAUCAGGAGCUAUUUGGAUUUUACUAGAUGAAGAAGAAGAAGCUUCUAUCCUAUUUAGUUGUUCUCUAAUGGCUUUAGCAAAAUCUGAUUUUGACUCUUGAACAAGCUUUUGACUAGUUUUCGAAACCUGAAAAGGUUUGAAAAUAGGCUCUUUAAGCUUUUUGUUAGAAUCCGACUUUGAUGUAACAAGAGAAACAACUAUGGUUGACUUCUGGAAUUGGUUUUCUAUUCUGGUCAACUGUUUUCCUAUUGUAUUUAGAUUGGCAUUACAGAAAUUAUUCUGUUGGAUAAUGCUAUCUAAAUCUGUUUCUGGAUCUUUAUGGAUUUUUGUAAGGUGAGGCUUUAAUCUGGAUAGGAGGUUCACCAUGAUGAAUGGUUAGACUCCUAAGCGGAGGAUGUUCAGACUCCAUACUCCUAUCACUAUCGGAAAGAUUUCAUUCAGUGAUUUUCUUUCUGAUAGUAAUGGGGUUUGAUUCUUUAAAAGGAUAUGAAAUGUUGUUAUCCGAAGCAUACAUCUCAAACCAGUCAAAAAAUAAUAUAUGAACUUUAUGCAUAUUAAUAAACUCAUAAAAAGUUUCUUGAAUUUCUUUUCUUUGAUUUAAAAAAUGUUUGAAAAACCAAAGUCUUUUUUCUUUAUUUUUAUCAGAAUAAAAAUAAUUGUGAAGAAGAGUUUUAUCCAGUUCAAAAUCCAUUUCUAUGACACUAAUCACAUUUUCUGUGAUUGCAGAAAAUGUAGGAGAAGUUGGAGGAGAAGGUUCCUUCUCUUCCCGACUUUGUUCAUGUUGACGGCUAGUGUAGAUGGGAUGAAGAACACUAGUUGUAUAAUCAACAGAAUGUAUAGAAGAACUAGGUAUAUCCGAAGUGGAAAACCUAGGUUGACUUUUUAUUGGUUGGAAAGGGAGAUUUAUUACUGAAGGAACUUUUGAAAACUUCCUUUCCCAUGAAGGAAUGCUUGAGCAUGAAUCUUUAUCAGAGAAUCUAGAUGAUGUAGAUCUCCUAAAGGAUAAUUUGACUUUACCAUCAGAAUACUGAGUCACAUUUUGUAACUCUGUAUUUGGCUCAAGUUGUUUAGGAAUCAUUGGUGCAGUGGCUCCUUCAAGAAUCCAUUCGUCCGGAAGAUUGACAUCUUUCCAUUGGAUGGGUUUUGGAAUAACAGUAUUGGCUUUAGACAGGUCAGUCUGUAAGAGAAGGGUCUCAUCUCUUUUUGACUAAAAUUUGUGUUGCGUGCUAAAUGCAGAAAUCAUGGCUUUGUAAGAAAUUUUAUAAAUUAAGGUAACUGGGACAGAUCCCUCAAUCAUGUGAUAAUUAUGGGUCUUGAUUUGUAACAUCAUGCUUUUUAAAAUGUUCUUGUCUUUUAGAGAAAUUGUUAUGUUCGGGUAACAGCUGAAUGAAAUUGGUCCUUUACAAAGACUUGAUUUUAUACUACUUAGUAAAGAAUCAUAAAAAGAGAUGAAUCGCCCAUCUCUAAGGACAACAAGAAUAGAAGUAUUUAGACCUUCUUUUGUUAAGGGUUUUAUAUCAACUUGUACUAAGCCGAUGUGAACAUAUUUAAAAUUUUUAUCUUUUAAUUUCUUUAAAGAUUGUUAUGAAAAUAGGUGAAUAGUUUCAAAUGGUUUUGAAAGAGUUAUGUCUCGUUCUUCAGUUUUUAUAACAUAAUCAUUCUUUAAAAAAUCAAGCUUUUUUAUUUUGUAAAUCAUUUCUUUAGAAAUCUUUGGUAAUUCCCAAUUAUCAAUUGCUUUAUUAAAGUCUUCAAUUACAAAUUCUUCCGAAUUCACAACAUUCUUUGAAUCACUAGUUCUUCCGGAAGAAGAACUAGAAAAGGACGAUACUCUAUAGAGCAGAGAAUCCAUGGGUCAAGACCUAUAUUUUAGUAUCAGUCUUGUCGGUAUGGCUACAAUCCAAGGCUAAGAAUUGGUUUUACUGCCCUUCAACAGUGUGAUGGAUAUCAUUAGGUUUGAGAAGAGCAUUGAUUUGGUUCUGGUAAACAGAACAAGCUUUAACGAUAUUCAAGUUUCUUGUUUUGGGUUUUUCAAUAAAAGGAAAAACAAGUUUUUUAGUUUUUGCUUUAAAGGAUAUACUAUCGUAGUUGACAGUAUAUGGAGUAAUGAGAUUGAUAAAAGGAGUUCCUAAUAUAACAGUGUGAUGGAUAUCAUUAGUUAAGAGGAAGCAAGUCCUGAAUUCAAAACCAUUGUUAUGAAUAGAAGCGUCGACUUUAGAUUUGACUUUUAAUUUUGAAUUAUUGGCGGCUGAGAGUCUUUCAUUUGUCUUUUCAUGAAAUCUUUUAGGAACAAUAUCUUCUUUAAUGCAAUUUAAAUCGGCACCGGUAUCAAAAAGGGCAAUUGUGUCAAUUUCAAAGUCUUUAGAAAGGAUUAAAGUAAUUUUUAUCAAGUAUUUUCUUAUGGUGAUUUGUUUUAAAACAAAUAGAAAAUCAUUGGGUAUAGACUCAAUGUUUUUGACGUUUUGUUCAUUCUCACCAUCAGAUUCAACAUCUUUAUCAAAAUUAUCUUCUAAUUAUAUAUAUAUAUAUUAACCAUAUCUUCCGCCGUUCUAACAACUCAUCUAUGCCUUGUUGUUUAUGGGAUUUAUUUCUAGCUAAUCUUUCUAAAUAUUUCAUUUCUUUCCUACACAAUUGGAUAAGCUUUGUUCAGUUACAUAGAUAUGGCUAUAAUUACAUAUUCUAAUAUAGUAAUACACUUAUCUUAAAUUUUUCACUGUUUCUUUUUCUUUCACAAAACUUUUCCACUCACUUAUUGAUAAGAUAUUAUCAUGUCUUAACUUCAUUCUUUCUUGCUCAUUUUUUCCAAGUUACACAUAUAAAACACAAAAAAAUAUGAGUUAGUUUAAGAACACAACCCAUAAAAUUUAUAAUGCAAAAACUUUAAUAAUUGUUAAAGAGAUGUUGGCCCCCAAACAAGUUUUGAAAAAUGUUAAAAUGAAAUAAACAAUGCCAGAAAAUUGUAUUUGGGACUUAAGUUUGUUUACUAAACCUACUUCAGUGUUGAUAUGCACAUUGCUACAAAUCUAUUGAGUGGGAAGCUGAUAAUUUCUCCAUCAAAUGCUAAGACUAUACCAAGCAAACAAUAGCUUUGAGAUUCUACAAUUAAAAUUGUGUUAAUACUAACGAUUACAAAAUAUAUCAAAACCCAAGAUCAAUUUGCUUGGGAAAGAAAGAAAUCAUAACCAGCCAAGGUAUAAUAACAGCAAAUAAGCUAAAAAAAAUAAAACAGAUGCAACUAAUAGUAAGUAUUGCUUGAAUGCUAGGGAUUUAGUGAUUAAAAAAAUAAGUUAUAAAACUAUUAAUAAUCCACAAAUAAUUAAGAAGAUAACAUGAUUUUUCCUUUUAAAUGUUCAAUCAUCAAACCCAAAUACAAAUAGUAAAUAAAUCAUUUUAAUCAUUAAUUGCUCAUGUAGAUGGAAGAAAGAGCACCCAAAUUGGGGUUAUAUAUUUGUUUCAGCCAUGGGUAUAGUAGCGAAAUUGAAGUUGCAUGAGUGAGAAUCCUUACCAAAUCAAUUAGAUGACUUCUAAAUUACCGAAAAGCCAGCCUAAUCUUUCUCAAGUCAGCGAAUAUAUGUGAAGUGGCCAGGGAAUCGUCGUCCAUUUUUUUCCUUUUCUUUUUCCCUUUUUCCUUUUUGAGAUUUGGUGAGUAUUAGAAUGGAUAAUAGACAUUAGAGGAGAAUUCUCUAGAAAACUGUAGCGAGAAGGGAAAUAAUGUAGGCGCCUUUCGUUUUUUUUU
rnacentral:lncRNA from 1 species